CCAGACUCCUACGGGAGGCAGCAGUGGGGAAUAUUGCACAAUGGGCGAAAGCCUGAUGCAACAACGCCGCGUGAAGGAAGAAGGGUUUCGGCUCGUAAACUUCUAUCAACAGGGACGAAAGAAAUGACGGUACCUGAGUAAGAAGCUCCGGCUAAAUACGUGCCAGCAGCCGCGGUAAUACGUAGGGGGCAAGCGUUAUCCGGAUUUACUGGGUGUAAAGGGGGCGCAGACGGCAGCGCAAGCCAGGAGUGAAAGCCCGGGGCCCAACCCCGGGACGGCUCUGGAAACUGCGGCGCUGGAGUACGGGAGGGGCAGGCGGAAUUCCUGGUGUAGCGGUGAAAUGCGUAGAUAUCAGGAGGAACACCGGCGGCGAAGGCGGCCUGCUGGACUGCGACUGACGUUGGGGCCCGAAAGCGUGGGGAGCAAACAGGAUUAGAUACCCGAGUA
rnacentral:rRNA from 1 species